rnacentral:rRNA from 1 species
AGCGAACGCUGGCGGCAGGCCUAACACAUGCAAGUCGAGCGGCCGUAGCAAUACGGCAGCGGCAGACGGGAUAGUAACACGUGGGAACGCGCCCUUCGGUUCGGAAUAACUCAGGGAAACUUGAGCUAAUACCGGAUACGCCCUUACGGGAGAGAUUAUUGCCGAAGGAACGGCCCGCGUCGGAUUAGCUAGUUGGUGAGGUAAUGGCUCACCAAGGCGACG